rnacentral:rRNA from 1 species
UAAGUCGACCGCCUGGGGAGUACGGCCGCAAGGUUAAAACUCAAAUGAAUUGACGGGGGCCCGCACAAGCGGUGGAGCAUGUGGUUUAAUUCGAUGCAACGCGAAGAACCUUACCUGGUCUUGACAUCCACGGAAGUUUUCAGAGAUGAGAAUGUGCCUUCGGGAACCGUGAGACAGGUGCUGCAUGGCUGUCGUCAGCUCGUGUUGUGAAAUGUUGGGUUAAGUCCCGCAACGAGCGCAACCCUUAUCCUUUGUUGCCAGCGGUCCGGCCGGGAACUCAAAGGAGACUGCCAGUGAUAAACUGGAGGAAGGUGGGGAUGACGUCAAGUCAUCAUGGCCCUUACGACCAGGGCUACACACGUGCUACAAU